GGUUUCUCUGUGUAGCUUUGGAGCCUAUCCUGGCACUCGCUCUGGAGACCAGGCUGGCCUCGAACUCACAGAGAUCCACCUGCCUCUGCCUCCCAAGUGCUGGGAUCAAAGGCGUGCGCCACCAAUGCCCG
rnacentral:miRNA from 1 species